rnacentral:rRNA from 1 species
AUUGAACGCUGGCGGCAGGCCUAACACAUGCAAGUCGAGCGGAUGAAGGGAGCUUGCUCCUGGAUUCAGCGGCGGACGGGUGAGUAAUGCCUAGGAAUCUGCCUGGUAGUGGGGGAUAGCGUCCGGAAACGGGCGCUAAUACCGCAUACGUCCUGAGGGAGAAAGUGGGGGAUCUUCGGACCUCACGCCAUCAGAUGAGCCUAGGUCGGAUUAGCUAGUUGGUGGGGUAAAGGCCUACCAAGGCGACGAUCCGUAACUGGUCUGAGAGGAUGAUCAGUCACACUGGAACUGAGACACGGUCCAGACUCCUACGGGAGGCAGCAGUGGGGAAUAUUGGACAAUGGGCGAAAGCCUGAUCCAGCCAUGCCGCGUGUGUGAAGAAGGUCUUCGGAUUGUAAAGCACUUUAAGUUGGGAGGAAGGGCAGUAAGUUAAUACCUUGCUGUUUUGACGUUACCAACAGAAUAAGCACCGGCUAACUUCGUG